AGUGAACGCUGGCGGUAGGCCUAACACAUGCAAGUCGAACGGCAGCACAGUAAGAGCUUGCUCUUACGGGUGGCGAGUGGCGGACGGGUGAGGAAUACAUCGGAAUCUACUUUUUCGUGGGGGAUAACGUAGGGAAACUUACGCUAAUACCGCAUACGACCUACGGGUGAAAGCAGGGGAUCUUCGGACCUUGCGCGAUUGAAUGAGCCGAUGUCGGAUUAGCUAGUUGGCGGGGUAAAGGCCCACCAAGGCGACGAUCCGUAGCUGGUCUGAGAGGAUGAUCAGCCACACUGGAACUGAGACACGGUCCAGACUCCUACGGGAGGCAGCAGUGGGGAAUAUUGGACAAUGGGCGAAAGCCCGAUCCAGCCAUACCGCGUGGGUGAAGAAGGCCUUCGGGUUGUAAAGCCCUUUUGUUGGGAAAGAAAAGCAGCAGGUUAAUACCCCGCUGUUCUGACGGUACCCAAAGAAUAAGCACCGGCUAACUUCGUG
rnacentral:rRNA from 1 species